ACGCCGCGCAGCGCGCACCAAGCGGCCAGGAACAGUCGGUGGCCCUCAGGCUCAACAGCAGCACGUCCCCUCCCAGCGUCGCCGCAGCCAUAUCUGAUGCCACUGCAUGCAACUGCUGUGAUAAUGAACCCGUAAUGGAUGGAAGACGCCAGUAUCAGAAUGCUUUAUAAUGUAGUCUGCCAGGCGGCAUCUUGUUACCACACACUUUUACUGAGAGGAAAACACAGACUGACAUAGUCAGGAUUGGAACCCACCUGGAAUAAUCUCCUCGGUAACCGCUGCUCCUCCAAUCACAUGCCGCCUCUCAAGGACCACCGUGUUCACCCCAGAUUUCUGUAGGUAGGCCGCCUGUAAUAGCAUCACACACAUUUGUAUUAGUAAAUGGUAACUUGCAACAUAAGAAAGUAGAGAGAAAAUAAUUUAAUAAGGAUGGCAUACAGGAUUCAUUAAAGCCAGUAUAUGACAACUGA